rnacentral:tRNA from 1 species
GUGGGAAUCGCUCAGUGGUAAAGCAUGUGCUUAGCAUGUGUGAGGUCCUGGGUUCAAUCCCCAGUACCUCCA